rnacentral:rRNA from 1 species
AUCCUGUUGCUUAACAGCAGGAAUUCUGAGGAUACUGUCAGACUUGAAGUCGAGAGAGGUCGGAGGUACUCCUGGGGUAGCGGUGAAAUGUUAUAAUCCUGGGGGGACCACCAGUGGCGAAAGCGUCCGACCAGAGCGAGCUUGACGGUAAGGGACGAAAGCCAGGGGAGCGAACGGGAUUAGAUACCCCGGUAGUCCUGGCCGUAAACGCUGUGGGCUAGGUGUUGCAUGCUCUACGAGGGCGUGCAGUGCCGAAGAGAAGUUGAUAAGCCUACCGCCUGGGAAGUACUAUCGCAAGAUAGAAACUUAAAGGAAUUGGCGGGGGAGCACCACAAGGGGUGCGGCGUGCGGUUUAAUCUAAUUCAACACAGAGAAUCUCACCAGCAGCGACGGCAAGAUGAAGGUCAGUCUGAAGGGCUUACCAGAUGAGCCGAGAGGUAGUGCAUGGCCGUCGUCAGCUCGUGCUGUAAAGUGUCCUGCUAAGCCAGGCAACGAGCGAGACCUGUAUCUACAAUUGCUAACGACUCUUUUAAGAGAAUCGAGCACAUUGUGGAGACUGCCUUGGAAACAAGGAGGAAGGUGCAGGCUACGGUAGGUCAGUAUGCCCCGAA